rnacentral:rRNA from 1 species
GAUGAACGCUGGCGGCGUGCCUAAUACAUGCAAGUCGAGCGAACAGACGAGGAGCUUGCUCCUCUGACGUUAGCGGCGGACGGGUGAGUAACACGUGGAUAACCUACCUAUAAGACUGGGAUAACUUCGGGAAACCGGAGCUAAUACCGGAUAAUAUAUUGAACCGCAUGGUUCAAUAGUGAAAGACGGUUUUGCUGUCACUUAUAGAUGGAUCCGCGCCGCAUUAGCUAGUUGGUAAGGUAACGGCUUACCAAGGCAACGAUGCGUAGCCGACCUGAGAGGGUGAUCGGCCACACGGGAACUGAGACACGGUCCAGACUCCUACGGGAGGCAGCAGUAGGGAAUCUUCCGAAAUGGGCGAAAGCCUGAAGGAGCAACGCCGCGUGAGUGAUGAAGGUCUUCGGAUCGUAAAACUCUGUCAUUAGGGAAGAAAAAAUGUGUAAGUAACUAUGCACGUCUUGACGGUACCUAAUCAGAAAGCCACGGCUAACUACGUG